rnacentral:rRNA from 1 species
AGCGAACGCUGGCGGCAGGUUUAACACAUGCAAGUCGAACGCUCGUAGCAAUACGGGAGUGGCAGACGGGUGAGUAACGCGUGGGAAUAUGCCUUUUGGUUCGGAAUAACUCAGGGAAACUUGAGCUAAUACCGGAUAAGCCCGUGAGGGGAAAGAUUUAUCGCCAAAAGAUUAGCCCGCGUCCGAUUAGCUAGUUGGUGAGGUAAUGGCUCACCAAGGCGACGAUAGGUAGCUGGUCUGAGAGGAUGAUCAGCCACAUUGGGACUGAGACACGGCCCAAACUCCUACGGGAGGCAGCAGUGGGGAAUAUUGGACAAUGGGCGCAAGCCUGAUCCAGCCAUGCCGCGUGAGUGAUGAAGGCCUUAGGGUUGUAAAGCUCUUUUGUCCGGGAAGAUAAUGACGGUACCGGAAGAAUAAGCCCCGGCUAACUUCGUGCCAGCCGCCGCCGUAA